AUGUCAGCUGCCAUAUGUAGUUGUAAGCUACUUGCUUUAAAAACAUCACUAUGGUUUGCUUUUUGCUUGCAAAAUGAUUAUUAUGCAAGCAUGUAUUUGCUGUCUGAGCCUAUAUCCUUUGUUUAUGUGCUACAGUACAUAUCAUUUACCAAAGUUAUUAGCUCAUGGCAUUUGAACCAUCUUAUCUAUUCAGGUUGGCAUCAUCACUGGAAGAUGUUUCUACAUGAUGUUUCUUCUCUUCGUAUUAACAUCUUAAAAGCAUUACAAAUUCGUAACUCUUCUGCUGGAGACAUGUGGCCAUCUUCGAAUAAUGCAGCUUCAUUGGAUGGUGUGAGUUUGGUAUUCAGAUGA
rnacentral:rRNA from 1 species